GACUUCGUAGCUUAGCAGAUAGAACACUUGCCACGUUUGGGCAUUUUUUAUGGUCGCUGGUUCGAAUCCACCCGAAGUCC